rnacentral:rRNA from 1 species
GCCCAGACUCCUACGGGAGGCAGCAGUGGGGAAUAUUGCACAAUGGGGGAAACCCUGAUGCAGCGACGCCGCGUGAGUGAGGAAGCAUUUCGGUGUGUAAAGCUCUAUCAGCAGGGAAGAAAAUGACGGUACCUGACUAAGAAGCCCCGGCUAACUACGUGCCAGCAGCCGCGGUAAUACGUAGGGGGCAAGCGUUAUCCGGAUUUACUGGGUGUAAAGGGAGCGUAGACGGCUAAUCAAGUCAGAAGUGAAAACCCCGGGCUCAACCUUGGGAGUGCUUUUGAAACUGAGUAGCUAGAGUGCAGGAGAGGUAAGCGGAAUUCCUAGUGUAGCGGUGAAAUGCGUAGAUAUUAGGAGGAACACCAGUGGCGAAGGCGGCUUACUGGACUGUAACUGACGUUGAGGCUCGAAAGCGUGGGGAGCAAACAGGAUUAGAUACCCCUGUAGG